rnacentral:rRNA from 1 species
UACGUAGGGCGCAAGCGUUGUCCGGAAUUAUUGGGCGUAAAGAGCUCGUAGGUGGUUUGUCGCGUCUGCCGUGAAAGCCCGGGGCUUAACUCCGGGUCUGCGGUGGAUACGGGCAGACUAGAGGCAGGUAGGGGAGAACGGAAUUCCCGGUGUAGCGGUGAAAUGCGCAGAUAUCAGGAGGAACACCAAUAGCGAAGGCAGCUCGCUGGGACGUUACUGACACUGAGGCGCGAAAGCGUGGGGAGCGAACAGG